rnacentral:rRNA from 1 species
AGAGUUUGAUCCUGGCUCAGGACGAACGCUGGCGGCGUGCUUAAGACAUGCAAGUCGAGCGGACCGUAUACGGCAGUGGGGUAGAGCGUGAGCUCCGCUCCCGCCGAGGUCAGCGGCGGACGGGUGAGGAACACGUGGAUAACCUGCCUGACGAUCUGGGAUAACAAGCCGAAAGGUUUGCUAAUACCGGAUAAGCUCACGGAGCCGCAUGGCUCUGGGAGAAAAGGCGCUGCAAGGCGCUGUAGUCAGAGGGGUCCGCGGCCCAUUAGCUAGUUGGUGAGGUAACGGCUCACCAAGGCCACGAUGGGUAGCCGGCCUGAGAGGGUGGCCGGCCACACUGGAACUGAGAAACGGUCCAGACUCCUACGGGAGGCAGCAGUCGGGAAUUUUGGGCAAUGGCCGAAAGGCUGACCCAGCAACGCCGCGUGAGUGAAGAAGGCCUUCGGGUUGUAAAGCUCUGUUGCCCGUGAAGAACGGUACGUUCAGGAAAUGGGAUGUACUGACGGUAGCGGAGAGAGCCC